GAUUAACGCUAGCGGCAGGCCUAAUACAUGCAAGUCGAACGGCAGCACGGGGGCAACCCUGGUGGCGAGUGGCGAACGGGUGAGUAACACAUCGGAACGUGCCCAGUAGUGGGGGAGUAGCUCGGCGAAAGCCGGAUUAAUACCGCAUACGACCUACGGGUGAAAGCGGGGAUCGCAAGACCUCGCGCUAUUGGAGCGGCCGAUGUCAGAUUAGGUUGUUGGUGGGGUAAAGGCCUACCAAGCCGACGAUCUGUAGCUGGUCUGAGAGGACGACCAGCCACACUGGGACUGAGACACGGCCCAGACUCCGUACGGGAGGCAGCAGUGGGGUAAGUUUUGGACAAUGGGCGCAAGCCUGAUCCAGCCAUGCCGCGUGCGGGAAGAAGGCC
rnacentral:rRNA from 1 species